GAUGAACGCUGGCGGCGUGCCUAAUACAUGCAAGUCGAGCGAACAGACGAGGAGCUUGCUCCUCUGACGUUAGCGGCGGACGGGUGAGUAACACGUGGAUAACCUACCUAUAAGACUGGGAUAACUUCGGGAAACCGGAGCUAAUACCGGAUAAUAUAUUGAACCGCAUGGUUCAAUAGUGAAAGACGGUUUUGCUGUCACUUAUAGAUGGAUCCGCGCCGCAUUAGCUAGUUGGUAAGGUAACGGCUUACCAAGGCAACGAUGCGUAGCCGACCUGAGAGGGUGAUCGGCCACGCUGGAACUGAGACAGGGUCCAGACUCCUACGGGAGGCAGCAGUAGGGAAUCUUCCGCAAUGGGCGAAAGCCUGACGGAGCAACGCCGCGUGAGUGAUGAAGGUCUUCGGAUCGUAAAACUCUGUUAUUAGGGAAGAACAAAUGUGUAAGUAACUAUGCACGUCUUGACGGUACCUAAUCAGAAAGCCACGGCUAACUACGUG
rnacentral:rRNA from 1 species